GUUUCCGUAGUGUAGUGGUCGUCACGUGCGCUUCACACGCGCAAGGUCCCCGGUUCGAUCCCGGGCGGAAACA
rnacentral:tRNA from 1 species